GUUCCGUAAGGGGUAACCUGCGGAGGGGCCAUUGUGGCGUUUACGCUCUAUAACCCUUUGUGAACAUACCUAUAACUGUUGCUUCGGCGGGUAGGGUCUCCGUGACCCUCCCGGCCUCCCGCCCCCGGGCGGGUCGGCGCCCGCCGGAGGAUAACCAAACUCUGAUUUAACGACGUUUCUUCUGAGUGGUACAAGCAAAUAAUCAAAACUUUUAACAACGGAUCUCUUGGUUCUGGCAUCGAUGAAGAACGCAGCGAAAUGCGAUAAGUAAUGUGAAUUGCAGAAUUCAGUGAAUCAUCGAAUCUUUGAACGCACAUUGCGCCCGCCAGCAUUCUGGCGGGCAUGCCUGUUCGAGCGUCAUUUCAACCCUCAAGCUCUGCUUGGUGUUGGGGCCCUACAGCUGAUGUAGGCCCUCAAAGGUAGUGGCGGACCCUCCCGGAGCCUCCUUUGCGUAGUAACUUUACGUCUCGCACUGGGAUCCGGAGGGACUCUUGCCGUAAAACCCCCAAUUCUCCAAAGGUUGACCUCGGAUCAGGUAGGAAUACCCGCUGAACUUAAGCAUAUCAAUAGCCCGGAGGAA
rnacentral:rRNA from 1 species